AACUUUCAACAACGGAUCUUUGGUUCUCGCAUCGAUGAAGAACGCAGCGAAAUGCGAUAAGUAAUAUGAAUUGCAGAUAUUCGUGAAUCAUCGAAUCUUUGAACGCACAUUGCGCCCUUUGGUAUUCCAAAGGGCAUGCCUGUUUGAGCGUCAUUU
rnacentral:rRNA from 1 species